AUUGAACGCUGGCGGCAGGCCUAACACAUGCAAGUCGAGCGGAUGAGGGGAGCUUGCUCCCUGAUUUAGCGGCGGACGGGUGAGUAAUGCGUAGGAAGCUGCCCGAUAGAGGGGGAUACCAGUUGGAAACGACUGUUAAUACCGCAUAAUGUCUACGGACCAAAGUGUGGGACCUUCGGGCCACAUGCUAUCGGAUGCGCCUACGUGGGAUUAGCUAGUUGGUGAGGUAAUGGCUCACCAAGGCGACGAUCUCUAGCUGGUUUGAGAGGAUGAUCAGCCACACUGGAACUGAGACACGGUCCAGACUCCUACGGGAGGCAGCAGUGGGGAAUAUUGGACAAUGGGCGCAAGCCUGAUCCAGCCAUGCCGCGUGUGUGAAGAAGGCCUUCGGGUUGUAAAGCACUUUCAGCGAGGAGGAAGGGUGGUGUGUUAAUAGCACAUCAUUUUGACGUUACUCGCAGAAGAAGCACCGGCUAACUCUGUGCCAGCCGCCGCAGUAAAAC
rnacentral:rRNA from 1 species